rnacentral:rRNA from 1 species
AUUGAACGCUGGCGGCAUGCUUUACACAUGCAAGUCGAACGGUAACAGGUCUUCGGAUGCUGACGAGUGGCGAACGGGUGAGUAAUGUAUCGGAACGUGCCCAGUAGUGGGGGAUAACUACUCGAAAGAGUGGCUAAUACCGCAUGAGAACUGAGGUUGAAAGCGGGGGACCUUCGGGCCUCGCGCUACUGGAGCGGCCGAUAUCAGAUUAGGUAGUUGGUGGGGUAAAGGCCUACCAAGCCGACGAUCUGUAGCUGGUCUGAGAGGACGACCAGCCACACUGGGACUGAGACACGGCCCAGACUCCUACGGGAGGCAGCAGUGGGGAAUUUUGGACAAUGGACGCAAGUCUGAUCCAGCAAUGCCGCGUGCAGGACGAAGGCCUUCGGGUUGUAAAGCUCUUUUGUCAGAGAAGAAACAGCAGCUCUAACACAGUCUGCGAAUGACGGUACCUGAAGAAUAAGCACCGGCUAACUACGUGCCAG